rnacentral:rRNA from 1 species
UACGUAGGGGGCAAGCGUUGUCCGGAAUCAUUGGGCGUAAAGAGCGUGUAGGCGGCCCGGUAAGUCCGCUGUGAAAGUCCAGGGCUCAACCCUGGGAUGCCGGUGGAUACUGUCGGGCUCGAGUCCGGAAGAGGAGUGUGGAAUUCCUGGUGUAGCGGUGAAAUGCGCAGAUAUCAGGAGGAACACCAAUGGCGAAGGCAGCACCUCUGG